AGUGCAAUGGAUUUAAGCUUCAUAUAUAAAGGAAUACCCUUUUAUUAGAA
rnacentral:tRNA from 1 species